AAGUCGUAACAAGGUUUCCGUAGGUGAACCUGCGGAAGGAUCAUUAACGAGUUUUGAAAAGAGUUGUAGCUGGCCUUUAAAAUCAUUAACCAAAUAAAAAUAAAAAAAAAAGGCAUGUGCACACUCUGCUCAUCCACUCUCAUACCCCUGUGCACUUAUUGUAGGCUGGGUCGGAUGACUGGCUGUGAAAGGCCGGUUUGAAAAGCCUUGUCUAUGUUUUAUUACAAACAAGUUCAGUUUAAGAAUGUCAUAUUAUAUUAGCGUGUAACGCAAUAAAUACAACUUUCAGCAACGGAUCUCUUGGCUCUC
rnacentral:misc_RNA from 1 species